rnacentral:rRNA from 1 species
UCCUUAGUAUCGUACCCACAUUUACUUGGAUAAUUGUGGUAAUUUCUAGAGCUAAUACAUGCAAACAGAGCUCCGACCGGAGACGGAAGGAGCGCUUUUAUUAGAUCAAAACCAAUCGGUGGCGGUUUCCGUCAUCGUACAACUNUGGUGACUCUGAAUAACUUUACGCUGAUCGCACGGUCUUGCACCGGCGACGCAUCUUUCAAAUGUCUGCCUUAUCAACUGUCGAUGGUAGGUUCUGCGCCUACCAUGGUUGUAACGGGUAACGGGGAAUCAGGGUUCGAUUCCGGAGAGGGAGCCUGAGAAACGGCUACCACAUCCAAGGAAGGCAGCAGGCGCGCAAAUUACCCACUCCCGGCACGGGGAGGUAGUGACGAAAAAUAACGAUACGGGACUCAUCCGAGGCCCCGUAAUCGGAAUGAGUACACUCUAAACCCUUUAACGAGGAUCAAUUGGAGGGCAAGUCUGGUGCCAGCAGCCGCGGUAAUUCCAGCUCCAAUAGCGUAUAUUAAAGUUGUUGCGGUUAAAAAGCUCGUAGUCGAAUCUGUGUCCCGCGCCGCCGGUUCAUCGUUCGCGGUGUUAACUGGCGUGCCGCGGGACGUCCUGCCGGUGGGCUUAGCUCGCGAGGGCGGCCCAACUCAAUCCCGCCGCGGUGCUCUUAAUUGAGUGUCGAGGUGGGCCGGCACGUUUACUUUGAACAAAUUAGAGUGCUUAAAGCAGGCUAAAACUUUGCCUGAAUACUGUGUGCAUGGAAUAAUGGAAUAGGACCUCGGUUCUAUUUUGUUGGGUUUCGGAACCCCGAGGUAAUGAUUWAAUANGGAACGGAUGGGGGCAUUCGUAUUGCGACGUUGAGUGAAAUCCUUGGAUCGU